AUAUCAAUAAGCGGGGAAAAGAAACUAACAAGGAUUCCCCUAGUAACUGCGAGUGAAGCGGGAAAAGCUCAAAUUUAAAAUCUGGCGGUCUUUGGCUGUCCGAGUUGUAAUCUAGAGAAGUGUUAUCCGCGCUGGACCAUGUACAAGUCUCCUGGAAUGGAGCGUCGUAGAGGGUGAGAAUCCCGUCUUUGACAUGGACUACCAGGGCUUUGUGAUGCGCUCUCAAAGAGUCGAGUUGUUUGGGAAUGCAGCUCAAAAUGGGUGGUAAAUUCCAUCUAAAGCUAAAUAUUGGCGAGAGACCGAUAGCGAACAAGUACCGUGAGGGAAAGAUGAAAAGAACUUUGGAAAGAGAGUUAAACAGUACGUGAAAUUGCUGAAAGGGAAACGCUUGAAGUCAGUCGCGUUGGCCGGGGAUCAACCUUGCUUUUGCUGGGCGUACUUUCCGGUUGACGGGUCAGCAUCAAUUUUGACCAUUGGAUAAAGUCCAGAGGAAUGUGGCAUCUUCGGAUGUGUUAUAGCCCUUGGUUGCAUACAAUGGUUGGGAUUGAGGAACUCAGCAUGCCGCAAGGCCGGGUACUUGUACCACGUUCAUGCUUAGGAUGCUGGCAUAAUGGCUUUAAUCGACCCGUCUUGAAACACGGACCAAGGAGUCUAACAUGCCUGCGAGUGUUUGGGUGGAAAACUCGGACGCGUAAUGAAAGUGAAAGUUGAGAUCCCUGUCGUGGGGAGCAUCGACGCCCGGACCAGACCUUUUGUGACGGAUCCGCGGUAGAGCAUGUAUGUUGGGACCCGAAAGAUGGUGAACUAUGCCUGAAUAGGGUGAAGCCAGAGGAAACUCUGGUGGAGGCUCGUAGCGAUUCUGACGUGCAAAUCGAUCGUCAAAUUUGGGUAUAGGGGCGAAAGACUAAUCGAACCAUCUAGUAGCU
rnacentral:rRNA from 1 species